UACGGAGAGGGCUAGCGUUAUUCGGAAUUAUUGGGCGUAAAGGGCGCGUAGGCUGAUUAAUAAGUUAAAAGUGAAAUCCCGAGGCUUAACCUUGGAAUUGCUUUUAAAACUAUUAAUCUAGAGAUUGAAAGAGGAUAGAGGAAUUCCUGAUGUAGAGGUAAAAUUCGUAAAUAUUAGGAGGAACACCAGUGGCGAAGGCGUCUAUCUGGUUCAAAUCUGACGCUGAGGCGCGAAGGCGUGGGGAGCAAACA
rnacentral:rRNA from 1 species